CCUACGGGAGGCAGCAGUGGGGAAUAUUGGGCAAUGGGCGCAAGCCUGACCCAGCAACGCCGCGUGAAGGAAGAAGGCUUUCGGGUUGUAAACUUCUUUUCUCAGGGACGAAGAAAGUGACGGUACCUGAGGAAUAAGCCACGGCUAACUACGUGCCAGCAGCCGCGGUAAUACGUAGGUGGCAAGCGUUAUCCGGAUUUAUUGGGUGUAAAGGGCGUGUAGGCGGGAGCGCAAGUCAGAUGUGAAAACUCAGGGCCCAACCCUGAGCCUGCAUUUGAAACUGUGUUUCUUUAGUGCUGGAGAGGCAAUCGGAAUUCCGUGUGUAGCGGUGAAAUGCGUAGAUAUUAGGAGGAACACCAGUGGCGAAGGCGGCUUACUGGACUGUAACUGACGUUGAGGCUCGAAAGCGUGGGGAGCAAACAGGAUGAGAUACCCGAGUAGUC
rnacentral:rRNA from 1 species